UACGGAGGGUGCAAGCAUUGAUCGGAAUUACUGGGCGUAAAGGGCGCGUAGGCGGCCUAAUAAGUCGGAUGUGAAAUUCCGGGGCUCAACCCCGGAGCGGCAUUUGAAACUGUUAGGCUAGAGUACAGUUGGGGUAAACGGAAUUCCACGUGUAGCGGUGAAAUGCGUAGAUAUGUGGAAGAACACCGGUGGUGAAGACGGUUUACUGGGCUGUAACUGACGCUGAGGCGCGAAAGCAUGGGGAGCAAACAGG
rnacentral:rRNA from 1 species